ACGGGGUGCAGCAGGCGCGAAACCUUUACAAUGCACGCAAGUGUGAUAAGGGGAUCCCAAGUGCCUAUGUUUUUCAUAGGCUUUUCUAAAGUUUAAAACGCUUUAGGAAUAAGAGCUGGGUAAGACGGGUGCCAGCCGCCGCGGUAAUACCCGCAGCUCGAGUUAUUUGGAGUUUUAUUGGGUCUAAAGCGUUCGUAGCCGGUCUUUCAAGUUCCCUGUGAAAUCUGAUCGCUUAACGAUUAGACGCGCAGAGAAUACUGUAAGACUAGGGAGUGGAAUGGGCCAGAGGUACUCUUGGGGUAGGGGUGAAAUCCAAUAAUCCUGAGGGGACCACCUGUGGCGAAGGCGUCUGGCUAAGACACGUCCGACGGUGAGGAACGAAAGCUAGGGGAGCAAAUCGGAUUAGAUACCCGAGUAGUCCUAGCCGUAAAUGAUGCAGACUAGGUGUUGCAUGUUCUUCUUGAGCAUGCAGUGCCGAAGGGAAGCCGUUAAGUCUGCCACCUGGGAAGUACGGUCGCAAGGCUGAAACUUAAAGGAAUUGACGGGGGAGCACCACAAGGGGUGGAGCUUGCGGUUUAAUUGGAUAUUACUCCGGAAAUCUCACCAGGAGCGACAGCAGUAUGAAGGUCAGCCUGAUGAGCUUACUCGACUCGUUGAGAGGUAGUGCAUGGCCGCCGUCAGUUCGUGCCUUGAGGUGUUCGGUUAAGUCCGACAACGAACAAGACCCACGUCUCUAGUUGCUAAUCAUUUCUUCGGAGAUGAUGCACUUUAGAGAGACCGCUGGUGAUAA
rnacentral:rRNA from 1 species